CCCUUAGAUGUUCUGGGCUGCACGCGCGCUACACUGAAGCGUUCAACGAGUAUUCACCUUGCCCGGGAGGGUUGGGUAAUCUUUUGAAAACGCUUCGUGAUGGGGAUAGAUUAUUGCAAUUAUUAAUCUUCAACGAGGAAUUCCUAGUAAGCGCGAGUCAUCAGCUCGUGCUGAUUACGUCCCUGCCCUUUGUACACACCGCCCGCCGCUCCUACCGAUUGAGUGAUCCGGUGAUUAAUUCGGACUGCAGCACUGCUUGGUCUCCAGGCUUUGCAGCGGAAAGUUUAGUGAACCUUAUCACUUAGAGGAAGGAGAAGUCGUAACA
rnacentral:rRNA from 1 species